rnacentral:rRNA from 1 species
UACGGGGGGGGGCAAGCGUUGUUCGGAAUUACUGGGCGUAAAGGGCUCGUAGGCGGCCAACUAAGUCGGACGUGAAAUCCCCAGGCUCAACCUGGGAACUGCGUCUGAUACUGGAUGGCUUGAAUCCGGGAGAGGGAUGCGGAAUUCCAGGUGUAGCGGUGAAAUGCGUAGAUAUCUGGAGGAACACCGGUGGCGAAGGCGGCAUCCUGGACCGGCUAUUGACGCUGAGGCGCGAAAGCUGGAGGGAGCAAACGGG